rnacentral:lncRNA from 1 species
AGAGAAACAACUGUAGAGGAGCAAGAGAUGAUGGUGACUCAGACCAAAGUGGAAGCAGUGGAGGUGAGGAGAGCUGGUCAAAUUCCAGGCAGUACCUGAAACACAUUCAUCACAGUCAAAAGGAAGUGAAGAGACACAGAAGGGAAGCAAGAUACUGAGAUGCUGCCAAGUAUCCCAGAGUCCAUGAUGGAGUAGAGAUGAAACAAUAGACCCAGGUCAUUCCUCUGCUGGAGGUUCUGAGGCAAGCAGUAGUGCUCUGCAGAUGAACAUUCAUGACAACUUGCCUUUCAACUGGAGGUGUGUGACAGCCAGAAAAAUACCAUCGAGGUAAAGCUUUUUUCUCCUAGAGGAGCAACUGACUCACCGCAGCAUGUUGUUAUGUGGACCUCGAGUCUGUGGACUAGUGACCUUCACCUCCUUCAGUGUGUGGGUCUGUCCAGGGCUUCCAUCCCUCCAGUAAGAACCCUAACCCACAUUCCUGCAUUUGAUAACUUUGAGUUAAAUCAAGAAAAGCUUGGAAAUUUGGACAUAGUUGUUUAUAAGUCACUCAUAUUAUCUAUUAAAGUCUAAAAAUGUUGUAGUCCCUGAA